AUUGAACGCUGGCGGCAGGCCUAACACAUGCAAGUCGAACGAGUGGCGGACGGGUGAGUAAUGUAUGGGAAACUGCCCGAUGGAGGGGGAUAACUACUGGAAACGGUGGCUAAUACCGCAUACCAUCAGAUGAACCCAUAUGGGAUUAGCUUGUAGGUGGGGUAACGGCUCACCUAGGCGACGAUCCCUAGCUGGUCUGAGAGGAUGACCAGCCACACUGGAACUGAGACACGGCCCAGACUCCUACGGGAGGCAGCAGUGGGGAAUAUUGCACAAUGGGCGCAAGCCUGAUGCAGCCAUGCCGCGUGUAUGAAGAAGGCCUUCGGGUUGUAAAGUACUUUCAGCGGGGAGGCGUUACCCGCAGAAGAAGCACCGGCUAACUCCGUGCCAGCCGCCGCGGUAAUAC
rnacentral:rRNA from 1 species